rnacentral:tRNA from 1 species
GCGUUGAUUUAGUAGUUACAAUAAUAGGCUUUAAACCUGUAGGUUAUGGGUUUGAACCCUGUUGCA